UACGUAGGGAGCAAGCGUUGUCCGGAUUUACUGGGUGUAAAGGGAGCGCAGGCGGCACGGCAAGCCUGAUGUGAAAGCCCGCGGCCCAACCGCGGGACUGCAUUGGAAACUGUGUGACUGGAGUGCAGGAGAGGUAAGCGGAAUUCCUGGUGUAGCGGUGAAAUGCGUAGAUAUCAGGAGGAACACCAGUGGCGAAGGCGGCUUACUGGACUGUAACUGACGUUGAGGCUCGAAAGCGUGGGGAGCAAACAGG
rnacentral:rRNA from 1 species